rnacentral:ncRNA from 2 species
GGUCCCGAGGAGCGCUGCAACGGGGAAAGCCCCUGCCAGGCUCGGGACCUUGGGUGACUCGAGGAACAACGGCGCUCUCGUGAU